CCUACGGGUGGCUGCAGUGGGGAAUAUUGCACAAUGGGCGCAAGCCUGAUGCAGCCAUGCCGCGUGUGUGAAGAAGGCCUCCGGGUUGUAAAGCACUUUCAGCGGGGAGGAAGGCGGUGAGGUUAAUAACCUCAUCGAUUGACGUUACCCGCAGAAGAAGCACCGGCUAACUCCGUGCCAGCAGCCGCGGUAAUACGGAGGGUGCAAGCGUUAAUCGGAAUUACUGGGCGUAAAGCGCACGCAGGCGGUCUGUCAAGUCGGAUGUGAAAUCCCCGGGCUCAACCUGGGAACUGCAUUCGAAACUGGCAGGCUAGAGUCUUGUAGAGGGGGGUAGAAUUCCAGGUGUAGCGGUGAAAUGCGUAGAGAUCUGGAGGAAUACCGGUGGCGAAGGCGGCCCCCUGGACAAAGACUGACGCUCAGGUGCGAAAGCGUGGGGAGCAAACAGGAUUAGAUACCCGGGUAGUC
rnacentral:rRNA from 1 species